GCUUAAGAGCAGCAGCAAAGCCCUGUCUCAUAUUUUUGCUCCCUUGCUAAUAGCAGUGGGGGAGUCAGGAUCAGAGCAUUGCCCUAAAAGUUAGCUAUGGCACAGAGAAAAAUAGUGGGAUGAAAGCGAUGUGAAAUGUUUUUCACCCUGAAAGUCAGCUCACUCAGUUCUUCUAGCUACUAUACACAACUAAUAUCGAUAGUCCAAAGGAUUAAGCCACUGCAUCCAUUGUGUACAUUCAGAGAUAGGAAAACAACUGAUCUGCUCCACUCAUCUGGAUUUGCUUUGCUUGAAAAGUAAAGCAAGAGUAAAUAUGUACAUGGGUGGAAUUGUCAACGUGAUGCCAUUCUAUUUUCUGAGAUUUACCACAACAAAACACAGGUCUUGUGUUUCAGAAGAGCUGUACUAGGAGGACUUGCUACAUACACAAUCCUAAAUAUAUUAUGGUAAGAACUGUUUCUUUAAUAACCCCUUAAAGCUCCAGGACCUGUUGGCAGUUCCAGCCUUCACAUUCCUCAGAUACCUUCUGAUGUUCCAUUCAUGACAGUCAUUGAAUAAUUCAUAGUUAUUAGGAAUCAACAGAUAUUGUGUUGUAAACAAAUACAGAUACAUACAGGAGACACACUAUACUUUUAGUUUGUUUGUUUCAGCAGAAAGGUCAGGACUAGGAUCCCGCAGGAUGCAACAAAAAAGUUACACAAGCAUAAAGCUUUUAGUUUAAUGUGGAUGAGCAGUCAGAUAUGAAGGUCAUGGUCAUGGGUUCACAUUAACGCAAAUUUGUCACUGUAAUGCAGUUACUGCAGGGGUGUCAAACAUACUGUCCACAAGCUGGGUUAUAAUCUGGCCCACCAAAUACAUUUUAACCAUGGCCCUUUCCAAAAGAACAAAAAUAGACGUUUCACAUCAAUGGUUGUGCAUACCUAGGCAGUCACAACUUUUAUGUUUUCAAUAUUAUGAGCUAUGUUUUGUAGAUCCAUGAUAUGUGGCGCAUCCAGUGGCACUGAUCUGUUUUGUAUGGCCCUUUUGUGAGCAUUCUGUAUGCCCUAUGUGCAAUUUGUGUGAUCUGGAAAAAGGACUGGAUAGCGGCAUGUGUUUUUGGACUUUUUUUGUUGGUGAUGGUGCUCUUGUGUGAACUUCUCUGCACCUGCAAAACUAUGCCAAUUUGCACAAGGGGUAAUUGGGUGCUAGCUUAUUCGAGCCGGAAAGGAGGUGUACAACAAUGGCUAUGGACCUCCAUCUAUGAUCCUGAGUAAUGCAAGGUUGCUCAGGAAUGAGAUGGAUGAACUCCAAAUUCUAACAAGGGGAUGCUUUGAGUACCGUGAGUCGUGUAUUAUGUUUUUUUUACAGAGACUUGGUUACACCCAGAGAUCCCUGACAGUCUUGUUGGAAUAGAGGGGUUCUCACACAUUUGCUCUGAUAGAAGUGAGCUGAUGACAAGUGGUGUAGACAGCACACAGUCCGGGAGAAAAUCUGUAACCCUGAUGUAGAGUAUGUGUGAGUCUCAGACCAUUCUAUCUAUCCUGAGAGUUUGGUAAUAUCAUCAUCUGCUCUGCUUAUGUACCCGCCAACGGCAAUGCCUCAAGGGCUGUGACACAGGUGGCAGACUGUGUUCAUGAACA